UACGUAGGGCGCAAGCGUUGUCCGGAAUUAUUGGGCGUAAAGAGCUCGUAGGCGGUUUGUCGCGUCUGCUGUGAAAACCUAAGGCUCAACCUUGGGCUUGCAGUGGGUACGGGCAGACUAGAGUGCGGUAGGGGUGACUGGAAUUCCUGGUGUAGCGGUGGAAUGCGCAGAUAUCAGGAGGAACACCCGUGGCGAAGGCGGCUUUCUGGGACGGUACUGACGCUGAGGCACGAAGGCCAGGGGAGCAAACGGG
rnacentral:rRNA from 1 species